ACCCUCUCAGGAUCGCACCUGGAGAGUUGCCGGUACUGUACCGGUCUCGGCCGUGGGAGAGAGAGUCAAGCAGAGGCAUGCCCAUUCCAUUUCUAGCUUGGGCAGUGGCUAGCGAGUGGAAGAUAAUCUGCUAGGAUU